rnacentral:lncRNA from 1 species
GUCAAUAUAAAUAUAUUGGUCCUCGUAAGAGUCCGAUAUGUCGUCGAAGGUCGAAAGAGUGUGGCUCCCGUCCAUGUAGGUAUAUCGGUCCUUGUCAGAGUCCGGUAUGUCGUCGACUAUGGAGCCGUCGGUUUCGCACGGAUACCAAGUCCGAUUUGGCACGUCGGGGCUCGACCUUGGCGAGCGCCGAUCGUCAGUUGAAGAGUUAAACUCCGAGAUUUCAAACUGGAUUCGCAUUCCCAAUGAACAAGUACAAAGUUUAUUGGUGAUACAACUUCAGGUUGUCGGCGU